AUUGAACGCUGGCGGAAUGCUUUACACAUGCAAGUCGAACGAUGAAACCUAGCUUGCUAGGUCGAUUAGUGGCGAACGGGUGAGUAAUAUAUCGGAACGUAUCCAAUAAUGGGGGAUAACUAGUCGAAAGAUUGGCUAAUACCGCAUACGUCCUACGGGAGAAAGCUAGGGACCUUCGGGCCUGGCGUUAAUGGAGCGGCCGAUAUCUGAUUAGCUAGUUGGUGGGGUAAAGGCUCACCAAGGCGACGAUCAGUAGCUGGUCUGAGAGGACGACCAGCCACACUGGAACUGAGACACGGUCCAGACUCCUACGGGAGGCAGCAGUGGGGAAUUUUGGACAAUGGGCGAAAGCCUGAUCCAGCCAUUCCGCGUGAGUGAAGAAGGCCUUCGGGUUGUAAAGCUCUUUCGCAAGGGAAGAACACUUAAUCUCUAACAUAGAUUGAGGUUGACGGUACCUUGAUAAGAAGCACCGGCUAACUACGUGCCAGCCGCCGCGGUAA
rnacentral:rRNA from 1 species